rnacentral:rRNA from 1 species
AACGAACGCUGGCGGCAGGCUUAACACAUGCAAGUCGAACGCCCCGCCAGGGGAGUGGCAGACGGGUGAGUAACGCGUGGGAAUCUACCCAUCCCUACGGAAUAACGCAUGGAAACGUGUGCUAAUACCGUAUACGCCCUACGGGGGAAAGAUUUAUCGGGGAUGGAUGAGCCCGCGUUGGAUUAGCUAGUUGGUGGGGUAAAGGCCUACCAAGGCGACGAUCCAUAGCUGGUCUGAGAGGAUGAUCAGCCACAUUGGGACUGAGACACGGCCCAAACUCCUACGGGAGGCAGCAGUGGGGAAUAUUGGACAAUGGGCGCAAGCCUGAUCCAGCCAUGCCACGUGAGUGAUGAAGGCCUUAGGGUUGUAAAGCUCUUUCACCGGAGAAGAUAAUGACGGUAUCCGGAGAAGAAGCCCCGGCUAACUUCGUG